GCUGUGAUGGCCAAGUGGUUAAGGAGUUGGACUUGAAAUCCACUAGGGUUCCCUUGCGCAGGUUUGAAUCCUGCUCACAGCG